CCUACGGGAGGCAGCAGUGAGGAAUAUUGGUCAAUGGGCGAGAGCCUGAACCAGCCAAGCCGCGUGAAGGAUGAAGGCUCUAUGGUUUGUAAACUUCUUUUAUAUGGGAAUAAAGUGAGGAACGUGUUCCUUUUUGUAUGUACCAUAUGAAUAAGCAUCGGCUAACUCCGUGCCAGCAGCCGCGGUAAUACGGAGGAUGCGAGCGUUAUCCGGAUUUAUUGGGUUUAAAGGGUGCGUAGGUGGUUAAUUAAGUCAGCGGUGAAAGUUUGUGGCUCAACCAUAAAAUUGCCGUUGAAACUGGUUGACUAGAGUAUAUUUGAGGUAGGCGGAAUGCGUGGUGUAGCGGUGAAAUGCAUAGAUAUCACGCAGAACUCCGAUUGCGAAGGCAGCUUACUAAACUAUAACUGACACUGAAGCACGAAAGCGUGGGGAUCAAACAGGAUUAGAUACCCCAGUAGUC
rnacentral:rRNA from 1 species